UCCAUACAUUAAGUAGUAGGAAAGCUAAAUUUUAUAUUCCCUAUAAGUUCUAGCAUUUUUAGGCCUCUGAUUAGGACAUGUAAGUGUUUUGUGUUUAUUCCACUUUGGAGACCAUUAGUCUGGAAGAGUAUGUUAUAAAGAAGCUUCAUAGUAUUAAUUUUCCUCCUUUGAGUGUUAAGUGUAGUAUGUCCUAUAGAAGAAUGGGAUAGAAUGAUAGGUGAGUGGGAUCUUUGAAUACUGAAGAGGCCAUUGGAGAAAUCUUAGCACUGACCAAAUAGAGUUUGAAAUCUGGGUCUGCUUGUCUGUGAAGGUUAUACAUGAAUAUUCACAUUGACUAACAUUUCUCUAGUAUCCACAGUGUGCCGGGUACUCUUCUAAGCAUUUUCACCUAUAUUACUUAUCCCACAACUAUUUACUGAUGAAGAAUCCAGUUUGUUGAUUUAUAUAAGUGAAAAAGCCAGAACUUUUUCAGGUUUCUAACUCAAAGCUCUUUGUUUUUCCCUUUAUGUUACAGCUCUUGUGAAGAGCUUUAAAACCUAGUUACAGAGGUAGGAAAAACAUACAUGCCACAGAAUGUGAAGGAGAUUCUUAGUUCCUGAGAAUAGUGCCUAUGUUACUUGAGUUAUGGCUCAGUCUUGUACACCUGGCAAAGCACAUAUAGCAGGUGUUUAACAAAUAUUUGUUAAGCAUUCAGGGGCUCUUAGUAUCAAGCAGCAUGGGAUUUUAAGACCUUAGAAACUUGGAUUUGAGUCUCAGCUCUUCUGCUUCCUAAUUGUAUGACUGGCCAGUGACUUAAUCUCUCCGCACCCAAGUUUCCUUAGUUAAAAGAGGUGGGGAUUUUCAUCUCUGGGCUGUUCUGAGAAUUAAGUGGUAAUGUAUAUAGGGUGCCUAACUCACAGGGUCUGAUAAUUGGCCCCUCAGUUGCUACAAUGACUUUUUACCCCAAUAAGAGAAUUCUGUACCUCAGCCUGUUCUAUGCUUUGUAACUGUUAGUUCUCUCAGCUCCAGGGAUGUGUGUAAUUCACAACAGUGCUCCCCUCCAGUGUCUACCUCUAACAGUUCCUUUGUGGAGCUGGUAGAAAUUAAAAAUCUUAUUUUAACAACAUUGCAUAUUGUUUUGUUUCAAAUGAAAAAUAGUGAGAUAAAAUGUGGCAUUUGUGGUCAGAGUAUGGUCAGCUCUCAUGUCUAGGAUAUUCAGUUACGUCAUUUAAUUUGAUAGCAUUUCGUUAGGUUUUUAAAUACACACCAACACGAAGAAGGUGGACAUAUCUAUAAUCCCACUAUUUUUACAUAAUUCUUUCUGGCAUAAAAAAAAUUCCAUGUACAUGUCUAGGAAACUUAUUUAUUUAAAAAAAUGUAAAGGCAAUUUAAAUAUUAUACACUAGAAGCCGCUUCUGUUAGUUCAGGCUCUCAUAACAAAAUAUCACAGCCUGGGGGGCCUACACAACAGAACCUUUCUACUUCCUCACCAUUCUGGAGGCUGUGCAAGUCCAAGGUGAAGGUACCAGCAGGUCUCGUUUCUUCUGAGACCUCUCUCCGUGGCUUGCAGACGGCUGCCAUCUCACUGGGUCCUCACAUGCUCCUCCCUCUGUGUGUGCCUGUGUCCCAGUCUUCAAAGGCACCAGCCGUUUGGGAUUAGGGUCCAACCUAGCCAUCCCAUUUUAACUUAACUACCUCUUUAAAGGCCCUCUUUCCAAAUACAGUCACGUUCUGAGGUACUGGGAGUUAAGACUCCAAUGUAAGAAUUUGGAGGUGGAGGGCAAUUCAGCCUCUAACACCGCUCUACCCUGAAACCACUAAUACCUGUUUUAUUUAUACAUUUCCAGAAAAAUUUCCUGUCUUUAUAUCUGUGGGCAUGUGAAUUUAUAUGAUUAUGGGUUAUUAAAUUAGUUUCUUUGAAGUCCAUGUGAACAGUACACGGCAGCAAAGAAUUACCGUAGGGUUGUAUUGGGUUGGAGAAAUGAGCUUGUUGUGGAAGCAGACAUGAUCUGUUACGAGUGCGUGGGUCGCAUGUGUGUGUAUGUGUGUACAUACCAAUGUAUUAAAGCCUCUUCAGUAUAAAUUUUGUAUUUGUCUUGGGUCCCUGAUGCACUAAAACCUUUUCUGUGUUGUGUGACAGUCCCUGAAUUUAUUUACUUGGUACUCAUUAUGAUUGACUGUUUUGUGAGGUUGUAUGUAUGUUGGCAUUGGAAGCACAGGUGGUUCCUGACUUCGAUGGUUUGACUUAAGAUGGUUCCAUUUACAAUAGUUCCACGUAGGAUUGCUUGACUUUCUGGUGGCACGAAAGCAAUAUGCGUGCAGUAGAAGCCAUACUUUGAAUUUUGAACUUGGGUCUUUCCCUAGGCUGGUAGCUGUGGUGUGACGCUCUCGGUAAAGUCUGGUGAGGCUUUCAGCAGCAGCACCCAGGCCACGGCAGCCAGCCCGCCCCGUGACCAGGAGGGUCAGGAACCGUCAGUAACUGUGCCUGUACCAUCUUUCCUUCCGGUUUUCACUUUCAGUGCAGCGUUUAAUAAAUGAUACGAGCUGUUUGGCAUUUUAUUGUACAAUGGGCUUCGUGUUAGAUGAUGUUGCCCAGUUGUAAGCUAACAUAAGUGCUUUGAGUGUGUUUAAGGUAGGCCAGGCUAAGCUACGAUGUUUGACAGGUUAGUUGUAUUAAACACAUUUUUUUGACUUACAGUAUUUUCAACUCAUGGUGUGUAACCUGCUAGUUAGAGAAGACUUGAAUGGAGAAUAAGAGAAGAUCCUUGCCAAAAAUUCUAAAGUUGGGUGAAGGGGCAGGAGUAGAGAUCCAUUUGGAGAUGUGUCUGAGUACUGAGCUGGAGAAGGAGCCCACUGCCCUCUGAGGCUUACAUCAAGCUUUCCUGGGAGAAAGGAAGGUAACACUUCAACUGAAGGUUGCAGGGACUGUCCUAACCUGUUUUAGGCAGAGGGGAAAAAAGCACAUGUAAAGGCACAGAAUUUUGAGGGAGGAGAUAAAAGGUUAAAUAUGAUGGGGCUGUCUGAGUGGCUCAGUCGGUUAAGCAUCCGACUUUGGCUCAGGUCAUGAUCUCCGGUCCGUGAGUUCGAACCCCAUGUUGGGCUCUCUGCUGACAGCUCGGAGCCUGGAGCCUGCUUCGGAUUCUGUGUCUGCCUCUCUCUCUGCCGCUCCCCUGCUUGUGCUCUCUUGUUCUCUCUCUCUC